rnacentral:rRNA from 1 species
GGCUCUUUGAGAUAGAUGUAGAGUUUGACCUGCCCGGUGAUAUAAUAAUUUAAACGGCCGCAGUAUCCUGACUGUGCGAAGGUAGCAUAAUAAUUUGUCUUAUAAUUGAAGAAUGGAAUGAAUGGUUUGACUAGGAUAUAGCUGUCUCUUAUAUAUUUUUUAAAAGUUAAUUUUUAAGUUAAAAAGCUUAAAUUAAAUUAAAAGACGAGAAGACCCUAUUGAGCUUAGUAAGGAAUAUCAUUAAUUAAAACUAUAAUAUAAAUAAAAAUUAAUAUUGAAAUUUUGGUUGGGGCGACUGAGGAAUAAAAAGAGCUUCCUUAAUAGAUUAAAAAAGAUAUUUUUAGAUCCAAAUGAUUUUGAAUCAAGAACAAGCUACCCUAGGGAUAACAGCGUUAUUUUUUUUGAGAGUUCUAAUCGAAAAAAAAGUUUGCGACCUCGAUGUUGGAUUAGGGACAAAGUAAGGUUGCAGAAGCUUUACAUAUUUAGUCUGUUCGACUAUUAAUUUCCU